rnacentral:rRNA from 1 species
CCUACGGGAGGCAGCAGUGAGGAAUAUUGGUCAAUGGACGAGCGUCUGAACCAGCCAAGUAGCGUGAAGGAUGACUGACCUAUGGGUUGUAAACUUCUUUUACAAAGGAAUAAAACGAGGCACGUGUGCAGUAUGGCAUGGACAUAAUGAAUAAGGAUGGGCAGACUCCGAGCCAGCAGCCGCGGUAAUACGGAGGAUCCGAGCGUUAUACGGAUUUAUUGGGUUUAAAGGGAGCGUAGAUGGGUUGUUAAGUCAGUUGUGAAAGUUUGCGGCUCAACCGUAAAAUUGCAAUUGAUACUGGCAGUCUUGAGUACAGUUGAGGUAGGCGGAAUUCGUGGUGUAGCGGUGAAAUGCUUAGAUAUCACGAAGAACCCCGAUUGCGAAGGCAGCUUACUAAACUGUGACUGACAUUGAUGCUCGAAAGUGUGGGUAUCAAACAGGAUUAGAUACCCGGGUAGUC